rnacentral:rRNA from 1 species
UAGUCUGGGAAACUGCCUGAUGAGGGGGAGUAACUGCUGGAAACGGUAGCUAAUACCGCAUAACGUCGCAAGACCAAAGUGGGGGACCGUUCGGGCCUCCAUGCCAUCAGAUGUGCCCAGAUGGGAUUAGCUAGUAGGUGGGGUAACGGCUCACCUAGGCGACGAUCCCUAGCUGGUCUGAGAGGAUGACCAGCCACACUGGAGCUGAGACACGGUCCAG